UACGGGGGGGGGCAAGCGUUGUUCGGAAUUACUGGGCGUAAAGGGCUCGUAGGCGGCCAACUAAGUCGGAUGUGAAAUCCCCAGGCUCAACCUGGGAACUGCAUCCGAUACUGGAUGGCUUGAAUUCGGGAGAGGGAUGUGGAAUUCCAGGUGUAGCGGUGAAAUGCGUAGAUAUCUGGAGGAACACCGGUGGCGAAGGCGGCAUCCUGGACCGGUAUUGACGCUGAGGCGCGAAAGCUAGGGGAGCAAACGGG
rnacentral:rRNA from 1 species